rnacentral:lncRNA from 10 species
GUUCACGAGCUCAUGAAGCUGUGCUGGGCCCCUAGCCCACAGGACCGGCCAUCAUUCAGCGCCCUGGGCCCCCAGCUGGACAUGCUGUGGAGCGGAAGCCGGGGGUGUGAGACUCAUGCCUUCACUGCUCACCCAGAGGGCAAACACCACUCCCUGUCCUUUUCAUAGCUCCUGCCCGCAGACCUCUGGAUUAGGUCUCUGUUGACUGGCUGUGUGACCUUAGGCCCGGAGCUGCCCCUCUCUGGGCCUCAGAGGCCUUAUGAGGGUCCUCUACUUCAGGAACACCCCCAUGACAUUGCAUUUGGGGGGGCUCCCGUGGCCUGUAGAAUAGCCUGUGGCCUUUGCAAUUUGUUAAGGUUCA